rnacentral:rRNA from 1 species
UGGAAACUNUCUGACUUGAGUGCAGAAGGGGAGAGUGGAAUNCCAUGUGUAGCGGUGAAAUGCGUAAAUAUAUGGAGGAACNCCAGUGGCGAAAGCGGCUCUCUGGUCUGUCACUGACGCUGAGGCUCGAAAGCGUGGGUAGCGAACAGGAUUAGAUACCCUGGUAGUNCACGCCGUAAACGAUGAGUGCUAGGUGUUAGGCCCUUUCCGGGGCUUAGUGCCGGAGCUAACGCAAUAAGCACUCCGCCUGGGGAGUACGACCGCAAGGUUGAAACUCAAAGGAAUUGACGGGGGCCCGCACAAGCGGUGGAGCAUGUGGUUUAAUUCGAAGCAACGCGAAGAACCUUACCAGGUCUUGACAUCCCGAUGCUAUUCUUAGAGAUAGGAAGUUACUUCGGUACAUCGGAGACAGGUGGUGCAUGGUUGUCGUCAGCUCGUGUCGUGAGAUGUUGGGUUAAGUCCCGCAACGAGCGCAACCCUUAUUGUUAGUUGCCAUCAUUAAGUUGGGCACUCUGGCGAGACUGCCGGUAAUAAACCGGAGGAAGGUGGGGAUGACGUCAAAUCAUCAUGCCCCUUAUGACCUGGGCUACACACGUGCUACAAUGGUCGGUACAACGAGUUGCGAGCCGGUGACGGCAAGCUAAUCUCUGAAAGCCGAUCUCAGUUCGGAUUGGAGGCUGCAACUCGCCUCCAUGAAGUCGGAAUCGCUAGUAAUCGCGGAUCAGCACGCCGCGGUGAAUACGUUCCCGGGCCUUGUACACACCGCCCGUCACACCACGAGAGUUUGUAACACCCGAAGUCGGUGAGGUAACCUUUUAGGGG